UACGGAGGGAGCUAGCGUUGUUCGGAAUUACUGGGCGUAAAGCGCGCGUAGGCGGCUUUGUAAGUUAGAGGUGAAAGCCCGGAGCUCAACUCCGGAACUGCCUUUAAAACUGCAUCGCUUGAAUCCAGGAGAGGUGAGUGGAAUUCCGAGUGUAGAGGUGAAAUUCGUAGAUAUUCGGAAGAACACCAGUGGCGAAGGCGGCUCACUGG
rnacentral:rRNA from 1 species